UACGAGGGGGGCUAGUGUUGUUCGGAAUCACUGGGCGUAAAGGGCGCGUAGGCGGCUUUAUAAGUCGGGGGUGAAAGCCUGUGGCUCAACCACAGAAUUGCCUUCGAUACUGUAUGGCUUGAGACCGGAAGAGGUAAGUGGAACUGCGAGUGUAGAGGUGAAAUUCGUAGAUAUUCGCAAGAACACCAGUGGCGAAGGCGGCUUACUGGUCCGGUUCUGACGCUGAGGCGCGAAAGCGUGGGGAGCAAACAGG
rnacentral:rRNA from 1 species